AGAAUAUUAAGAAAAAGAAAAAGCUUCUAACUUUUUUUUAAGCAGUUAAACUCUGUUUAUAUUCUA
rnacentral:tRNA from 1 species